GAAAGAUAAAAGGUUGCUCUGCUCACAGGAGGACAUUAGGAGGAGAGUGGAUCACUUAAUCUUUCAUCAAGGGUUUUGCUGGUUUCAUAUAACUACAACAGUUAUGUGUAUGAAUCUUGAGAAGCCAAACUGGAGAAAAAAAUAUCCAAUCUUAAUAUGGCACCAGGCCACACCAAGACCAGAUGGAGAGAGAAAGAAGCUGUGGUGUUAAAAAGAGUAAUGAGACUGACCUCUUCUGAGUGAGUGCAGUGCUGAUCUAAUUGGUAAGUCUAUGUCAUGUCUACCUCUCUCAUCCUGUCCUCAUCAUUCUCGUUGAGUUCCCACU
rnacentral:lncRNA from 1 species